AACGAACGCUGGCGGCAUGCCUAACACAUGCAAGUCGAACGAGACCUUCGGGUCUAGUGGCGCACGGGUGCGUAACGCGUGGGAACCUGCCCUUAGGCUCGGAAUAACUCCCCGAAAGGGGUGCUAAUACCGGAUAAUGUCUUCGGACCAAAGAUUUAUCGCCUUUGGAUGGGCCCGCGUUGGAUUAGCUAGUUGGUAGGGUAAAAGCCUACCAAGGCGACGAUCCAUAGCUGGUCUGAGAGGAUGAGCAGCCACACUGGGACUGAGACACGGCCCAGACUCCUACGGGAGGCAGCAGUGGGGAAUAUUGGACUAUGGGCGAAAGGCUGAACCAGCAAGGCCGCGUGAGUGAUGAAGGCCUUAGGGUUGUAAAGCUCUUUUACCCGGGAUGAUAAUGACAGUACCGGGAGAAUAAGCGCCGGCUAACUCCGUG
rnacentral:rRNA from 1 species